GCCGGGUAACCGUGCCGUGGACUUCGUGGGAGUGAGAAUGCAGACAUGAGUAGCGAGAGACGGGUGAGGAUCCCGUCCGCUGGAUGACCAAGGGUUCCGGGGCCACGUUCGUCGUCCCCGGGUGAGUCGGGUCCUAAGGCGAGGCCGACAGGCGUAGUCGAAUGGAUGAACGGGUGGAUAUUCCCGUACCGACCAUGGACCGGCAAAACCGAGACGGUGAGUACUAACCUCCGCCUCGUGGUGGUUCCUUCCUUCGGGUUGGUCCCGCCGCGUGGUGUUGGGAGCGUAGCCGUAGUAGGUCAGCGCAGGGGUGACACGGAAUGGGAGCCGGCCGCGGAGGUGGUUUUCCGUGGUCAAGCACGCAGCCAGUCAUGUAGGCAAAUCCGCAUGGCGCGCAUGGCGAGGUGUGAUGAUGGGAGCCGUUAUGGCUCGAUAUCCGGUUGUCCAGGCCGUCGAGAAAAGCCUCGGCGUGAGGGCCAUGGCCGCCCGUACCCCAAACCGACACUGGUGGUCAGGUAGAGAAUACCAAGGCGAUCGAGCGAAUCCUGGUCAAGGAACUCGGCAAAUCACUCCCGUGCCUUCGGUAUAAGGGAGACCCGCUGGGGUGAACCGGCUAGCCCGGGGAGCUUUGGUGGGUGGCACAGACCAGGGGGUAGCGACUGUUUACCAAAAACACAGGUGCAUGCGAAGGCGAAAGCCGCUGUAUAUGCACUGACGCCUGCCCGGUGCCGGAAGGUUAAGAGGAUCCGUCAGUCCUUCGGGAUGAAGCGGUGAAUUCAAGCCCCGGUAAACGGCGGUGGUAACUAUAACCAUCCUAAGGUAGCGAAAUUCCUUGUCGGGUAAGUUCCGACCUGCACGAAUGGCGUAACGACUUCCCCACUGUCUCGACCAGGAGCUCGGCGAAAUUGCAGUACGAGUAAAGAUGCUCGUUAAGCGCAGAAGGACGAAAAGACCCCGGGACCUUUACUAUACCUUGGUAUUGGCGUUAGGCGCGGAUUGUGUAGCAUAGGCGGGAGGCUUCGAAGCGGGUGCGCCAGCAUUCGUGGAGCCGCAAGGUGAAAUACCGCUCUGUUCUCGUUUGACGUCUAACCUCGACAAGUCAUCCUUGUCAGGGACAGUGCCUGGCGGGUAGUUCAACUGGGGCGGUUGCCUCCCAAAGAGUAACGGAGGCGCUCAAAGGUCCGCUCAGCCCGGUUGGCAAUCGGGUGUCGAGUGUAAUCGCACAAGCGGGCUUGACUGCGAGGACGACGGUCCGAGCAGGGACGAAAGUCGGAGAUAGUGAUCCGGUGCCGGCGCACGGGCGCGGCAUCGCUCAACGGAUAAAAGGUACCCCGGGGAUAACAGGCUGAUCAUUCCCAAGAGUCCAUAUCGACGGGAUGGUUUGGCACCUCGAUGUCGGCUCGUCGCAUCCUGGGGCUGGAGCAGGUCCCAAGGGUUCGGCUGUUCGCCGAUUAAAGCGGCACGCGAGCUGGGUUCAGAACGUCGUGAGACAGUUUGGUCUCUAUCCUCUGCGCUCGUUGGAAUCCUGAGGAGGCCUGCCCAUAGUACGAGAGGACCUGGGUGGACGAACCUCUGGUAUGCCGGUUGUCGCGCCAGCGGCACGGCCGGUUGGCUACGUUCGGGAGGGAUAACCGCUGAAAGCAUCUAAGCGGGAAGCCUGCUCCAAGAUUAGGAUUCCAUGGAUCUUCGAGAUCCUGUAGCCCGCAUGUUGAACACGUGUUUGAUAGGCCGGAGGUGGAAGUCCCGUGAGGGGUGGAGCCGACCGGUACUAACGGGCGACGGCGACACAAC
rnacentral:rRNA from 1 species